GGGGAUAACACCUGGAAACAGGUGCUAAUACCGCAUAAGCGCACAGGGCCGCAUGGCCCGGUGUGAAAAACUCCGGUGGUGUAAGAUGGACCCGCGUCUGAUUAGCUUGUUGGCGGGGUAGGGGCCCACCAAGGCGACGAUCAGUAGCCGGCCUGAGAGGGUGGACGGCCACAUUGGGACUGAGACACGGCCCAAACUCCUACGGGAGGCAGCAGUGGGGGAUAUUGGACAAUGGGGGAAACCCUGAUCCAGCGACGCCGCGUGAGUGAAGAAGUAUUUCGGUAUGUAAAGCUCUGUCAGCAGGGAAGAAAGAAAUGACGGUACCUGACCAAGAAGCCCCGGCUAACUACGUGCCAGCAGCCGCGGUAAUACGUAGGGGGCAAGCGUUAUCCGGAAUUACUGGGUGUAAAGGGAGCGUAGACGGUGAUGCAAGUCUGGAGUGAAAGGCGGGGGCCCAACCCCCGGACUGCUCUGGAAACUGUGUAACUUGAGUGCAGGAGAGGUAAGCGGAAUUCCUAGUGUAGCGGUGAAAUGCGUAGAUAUUAGGAGGAACACCAGUGGCGAAGGCGGCUUACUGGACUGUAACUGACGUUGAGGCUCGAAAGCGUGGGGAGCAAACAGGAUUAGAUACCCUGGUAGUCCACGCCGUAAACGAUGAA
rnacentral:rRNA from 1 species